AAAACCGUGGGAAUAUAAUCUUAUUUAUACCUAGAAUAUGGCUGGGCGUUUCUACCUCGUACCGUAAAUGCGAGACAAUAAGGAAAUUCGAUUUUUCA
rnacentral:ncRNA from 21 species